AUCUGGAUGAUUUAAAUUUAUUAGUGUUUAGUAAAUGGAAACAAUUGAAUAAUGAGCUGAUUUUACACCAGAAAUAAGCACACACAUACAAAUUGGAAUGAAAGUUCUUUUUUAAUCCUUUAUGUAUAAAUAAUGAAAACAAUUUCCUUAUAAAAGCCUAAAAAUCAAAACAAACAAAAAAAUAUUAACGACAUUGUGGCACGUCUGCAAAAGAAGCCAAAGAGAUUUUCAUGUAAGAAACAGUUUUAAAAAAAUAUUUUCUAGACUUUUUUUUUUUAAGCACACAUGCUGAUCACGCGAUUUCCCCCCCCCCCCCCCCCCCCCC